rnacentral:rRNA from 1 species
AGAGUUUGAUCAUGGCUCAGAGCGAACGCUGGCGGCAGGCCUAACACAUGCAAGUCGAGCGCCCCUCCUUCAAGCGAGCUUGGAGGAUUGCGGAGCGGUCUCCUUGGGCGGGCGAAAGCUCGCUUGACGGACAUCGCUGUGAGAUCAAGCGAGCCUUUAGGGGCUCGCUUGAUGGAGGGGAGCGGCAGACGGGAGAGUAACACGUGGGAACGUACCCUUUGGUUCGGAACAACCCAGGGAAACUUGGGCUAAUACCGAAUAAGCCCUUACGGGGAAAGAUUUAUCGCCGAAGGAUCGGCCCGCGUCUGAUUAGCUAGUUGGUGAGGUAACGGCUCACCAAGGCGACGAUCAGUAGCUGGUCUGAGAGGAUGAUCAGCCUCACUGGGACUGAGACACGGCCCAGACUCCUACGGGAGGCAGCAGUGGGGAAUAUUGGACAAUGGGCGCAAGCCUGAUCCAGCCAUGCCGCGUGGGUGAUGAAGGCCCUAGGGUUGUAAAGCCCUUUCGGCGGGGAAGAUAAUGACGGUACCCGCAGAAGAAGCCCCGGCUAACUUCGUGCCAGCAGCCGCGGUA